rnacentral:rRNA from 1 species
UAGCGUGAGGGUGCCAAGGUAGCGAAAUUCCUUGCCUUUUAAUUGUAGGCCUGCAUGAAUGGAUUGACGAGGGCCAUUCUGUCUCUUGCCUUAUGAAGUGAAAUUGGAUUAAAGGUGAAGAUACCUUUAUUAAAAAGUUAGACAAGAAGACCCCGUGCAGCUUUUAAAAGAUCCUUUAUUAAGAGAGGUAGAUUUUUAGGUGGGGCGCCUAGGAAGUAAAAUUUAACCUUCUGUGUAAUUUUGUUUGUGACAACUCUCUAGUAUAGACCCGGUGAAAUCCGAUCGUAGGAGAAGUUACGCCGGGGAUAACA